NNACUGUUGAGGAGUCCCAUAAUAGGACGAAACGGCCGUCCAGUGC
rnacentral:hammerhead_ribozyme from 1 species